CCUACGGGAGGCAGCAGUGGGGAAUAUUGGGCAAUGGAGGCAACUCUGACCCAGCAACGCCGCGUGAAGGAUGAAGGUCUUAGGAGUGGAAAGCUCUGUGAUGGGGGAUGUACACAAUGACGCUACCCCAAUAGCAAGCCACGGCUAACUACGUGCCAGCAGCCGCGGUAAUACGUAGGGGGCAGGCGUAAUGCGGAAUGAAUGGGGGUAAAGGGUGCGUAGGUGGGUUAGUAAGUUUGAUGGGUAAUUUCGGGGCUCAACCUUGGCACUGCCGUCGAAACUAUUAGACUAGAGUGCAGGAGGGGUAAGUGGAAUUCCUAGUGUAGCGGUGAAAUGCGUAGAUAUUAGGAGGAACAUCAGUGGCGAAGGCGACUUACUGGACUGUAACUGACACUGAGGCACGAAAGCGUGGGGAGCAAACAGGAUUAGAUACCCGAGUAGUC
rnacentral:rRNA from 1 species